rnacentral:tRNA from 5 species
CGUAGUUCAGUGGUAGAAUAAUUGACUGUUAAUCAAGAGGUCGCUGGUUCGAACCCAGCC